rnacentral:tmRNA from 1 species
GGGGUCGUUUUGGAUUCGACGGGUAUUGGUCGAGCUAUGACUGCGUUUAGGGGUUGUGGCCCUUAUAAAUCCACUCAGUCAGAAUAACUGCAAACAAUUCAAACAAAACUUACGCUUUAGCUGCUUAAUAACCAGUUAGCGUAGUCUAGUCGGGGUUCGCCCAUGAUGUCGCCUAGACCACCUUUUAUGGGCUACGGUACCUGCUUCUACUCGGAGUUUAGUACAAGAGACUAAUCGGGUUAGCUGACAAGAAUUGCGAAGUGUAUCCCGCGUACUUGCCAGCGAAAUUUAAAUAGGAUGGCUAUGAACGUAGAUGUUGUAGUGGCGAGAUGCUCGGACGCGGGUUCGAAACCCGCCGGCUCCAUAC